CGUGACCACAGGGGGCGACACAGACCUCCACCUCCAACUAGGAGGGCGCCCCAGUGGGCCAGACCAGCCUCUGCCAUGCGCAACAGCACGCGAGGGAGAGAGCCGGAAAGAGAGAGGGAGAGAGAGAUCUCAAGCAGGCUCCAUGCUCAGGGCUGAACCUAACCUGCGCUGGAUCCCGACAUCAUGACCUGAGCGGAAAUCAAGUGGGAUGCUCAGCGACCCAGGCCCAGCAUACCUGUUCUACCUGUUCAAAGACCCGCAGCAGGUUUUGACGAAGCACCCCACGGAGCUCUUCCUCGCUCCAGCCACGACUCAGCAACUCUUCUAUCAGAACUGGGGGUGGACAAAUGGACACUCAGCUUGGCCCCCAGAACAACCACCUGCCUCUAGGCUCCUGUGACGAAGGUUUGCGGGUCAGGGCAGUCUCUCACCAGAAGCUGCAGGAUAUCAUCAGGAAUGUUCCUGGCAUUCUGGCACACACCUCGGGAAGCUGAGUGGGAGAAGAUCACAGGUGCCUGUGACACUUCCAAGGCUCGUCGUGCCACAGCGUCAGAGACAUGGGACAAAUCGACCAUCAUGCCCAAGCGGUUCAUUUCCACCACCACUUUCUGCAGAGACAGGUGUGAGUGAGCGUCAAGUAGCGCACACCCAGCAAGUAGAAGGUACGCAAGACGGAAAGGCUACUGUCCAGCGAGUGGCCACCCUCCACACCAAUGAGGCAAGCCAACUUCCGGGUACUGUUUAGAGCUGGGGGCAGUCUACCUACCUUUAACUGAUGUCACAAGUUCCAGCUCAGAAUAGGAGGCACACAUGCGGUGGAUGAGGUCAAUUUGCUCCAGGGUGAGGCGCAGAGCAUCCCGUUCCUGGGUCUGGCAUGGGACGUAGGCUGACCAGAACUGGAGGGAGAAGACGUGAGUUGCUCCUUUCGGAGUGUAGCCCUCGGCUCUGAGGCGUCUGUCAACAACAUCAUGUCCCCAUCUGCCUGCGUCCUGCACCAACCACCCUGAGGG